rnacentral:rRNA from 1 species
CCCUUAGAUGUUCUGGGCCGCACGCGCGCUACACUGAUGCAUUCAACGAGUUUCUUCCUGGUCCGAGAGGAAUGGGUAACCUUUUGAAAGUGCAUCGUGAUAGGGAUAGACUAUUGCAAUUAUUGGUCUUCAACGAGGAAUUCCUAGUAGACGUAGUUCAUCAGACUGCAUCGAUUACGUCCCUGCCCUUUGUACACACCGCCCGUCGCUCCUACCGAUUGAAUGCUCAGGUGAGCCAUUCGGACUUUCAUCAUGCUGGAUUCCAGUUUUGAUGAAGGAAAGUCUUGCGAACCUUAUCAUUUAGAGGAAGGAGAAGUCGUAACA